AAUACCGGAUAGGACCACUUCACGCAUGUGAUGGUGGUGGAAAGUUUUUUCGGCGCAGGAUGUGCUCGCGGCCUAUCAGCUUGUUGGUGAGGUAACGGCUCACCAAGGCUUUGACGGGUAACCGGCCUGAGAGGGUGACCGGUCACACUGGGACUGAGACACGGCCCAGACUCCUACGGGAGGCAGCAGUGGGGAAUAUUGGACAAUGGGCGGAAGCCUGAUCCAGCAACGCCGCGUGAGGGAUGACGGCCUUCGGGUUGUAAACCUCUUUCAGUACCGACGAAGCGAAAGUGACGGUAGGUACAGAAGAAGGACCGGCCAACUACGUGCCAGCAGCCGCGGUAAUACGUAGGGUCCGAGCGUUGUCCGGAAUUAUUGGGCGUAAAGGGCUCGUAGGCGGUUUGUCGCGUCGGGAGUGAAAACACCGGGCUUAACUCGGUGCUUGCUUUCGAUACGGGCAGACUAGAGGUAUGCAGGGGAGAAUGGAAUUCCUGGUGUAGCGGUGAUAUGCGCAGAUAUCAGGAGGACACCGGUGGCGAAGGCGGUUCUCUGGGCAUUACCUGACG
rnacentral:rRNA from 1 species